AGCCCACAUAGCUCAGUGGUAGAGCACCUUCUUGGUAAGAAGGGGGUCGCCAGUUCAACUCUGGCUGUGGGCUU
rnacentral:tRNA from 1 species